AUUUUUUGAAUGGCAUUGUUUGUUGACGAAGGUAUAUAGUAAGCACCAAAUUAUCAAACCUAAACAAUAUUUGUAUUUAUAAACAUAAAACCCACACACUCUAGGUAUAAACCAAUGUUUCAUAAAGACAUUAAUUGUAGUUGAAAAAAAUCGAUUUCUCACCACUUGGACCUAUUUAAGGUACAAUGCAAAUAAAUAUUGAUACAAAUCUAGACCCCAUCUAUUGCCUUUAUAACUCUGAUCAAAAAUUAAAAAUAGGCUAGUGUAUUUUAUAACCUCAAAGAGAAUGAUAU